GCCAGUGGCGCUGCAGUAUUGGUCGAUCGCGCGCGACGGCAUCACACGGCAGGCGAUGGUGGCCGUGCGAAGUUGGUCGAACUUCCUAUAUAUAUUAUUGAUAAAUAGCUCCCGUCGUUGCCGAGUGCGACUUUUCGUGUAGCGGCUCCGCCGAGAGGAACCGCCGACUACGGGCUGUGUGCCGUGCAUACGUGAGUGAUCGCGCGAAAGCGCGCGCGCGCGCACGCUAACUGGUGUGCGUGUAUGUGCAUGUGCAUGUGCGUGCGUGUGCCCUGAUCCGCGCGCGUGGUGUGACGACGACGACGGUUAUCUCGAGGCGUUUUGCGCCGUGCGUGCCCCGAGCGUGCUUCCUCUCUCUCGCGCGUGGAAGCGAGGAAGCGGUGGUGUAGUGACUCGCGCCGCCGAUCGACGACGACGACGACGUAUCGUGACGACAAUUACGUGAGAGGAAAGAGAGAGGGAGAGAGAGUGAGAGAGAGGAUACCGAUUGGGAGAGAAAGAGAGCGAGGAGAGAACGCGCGCGCGUCGCCUCGCAAACGGAGAUCGGCGGUGGACGAGAGCAGCCGAGCGCGAACGACGGGAUUAUCGUGUGGUGCGUUUCUGGGUGUGACGGACGUGGUCGCAGUUGGGUAUAUCGGUGCGUGGCUUCUACCGGCGAUAUCGUGCACGAGGUGGUGUCGCGUCCAAGAGUGCUGGCCCCCGUAGGGCCGGGGCCCAGGCAGCGUUCCCUCGCUAAAGCCUGCGGCGCUAUCCCACGAGAGAGCAUGCCGAGCCCGGCCACGAAGAGGACGCACUCUACGCGGAGGAAGAAGAGCAGCGGUAUGCGGAACGUGGUGCACCAGACAGUUCCCGUCUUGUUCGUGCGUACGGGAACAUUUUAAUAGUUGCCACGUCGUCGACGCCAGUCGCAGCGAGCGGAGUAAGAGAGAGAGAAAGAGAAAAAGGAAAAGAGAAAGACCGCCGCGAAUUACUGCGCGCGGGCACAAAGUCCGCCGUCUCUGGGAAGUUUGUCGCCCUAAAACGAAAUAGCGUCGUUGCAACGACUCGGCAAGCGAAUCGUCGUUAUCAUCAUCACUCCGUCGUCGUCGCCGUCGUCGUCGUUAUCGCCGCGUUAUUGUAACGAGACAUUUUCGUUCACGUCGUGCGAGAGGACACGCUUAUAAGAAAACUUCAAGUAUGCUACGCUGCUUCUUCAAACGUGGAAACCAAGGAUCCAAUAUCGUCUUGUGAUAAACGAUGAAAAUUCAUGAUGGAUAACAUAGGAGAUAUCGCGAAGACGACGUAAUUUACGUGGCCGCGAAUGAUGACAGGCCACCAAUGAUAAACUGUUUAUUAGAAUAAAGACAGCGGAAACAAAUAGAGAGAAAGAGAAUUGGGAGACAAAGAGUGGGAGACAAGAGUCGCGCCGUCAAGUCAGAAAAAGAGACGCGCAGGCAGGAAGGGUAAGGGAGGCGCAGGACAGAGCCGAUCGUAGUAAUGGAUGAAUGGGAGUGAGCGCGGCGCACGGGGAGCGCAGGAGCGGCGGACGCGCACUUUGCGGCACGUCGUGGGAGCCUCUGGAUGUGGAGGCCGCGGCACUGGCAGCGUCAGUGGCAGUGAUGGCCCCUGCUCUGACGGAAGGCGGUCCUCAAAAGCCUGAAAACUUGCUCCCUACCCUACCAGCCGCGAGUGGCUUUCUGUCCGCCGAGCAGGCGACGCAGGUGUGCCAAGACCGUGAGAUCCUUAGCAAGUUCGUAGUGUCGGCGAACGUACAACCGUCCAAGAUCGACGAGCAGUGCUUGAGCGGUAUCUCAAAGGACCUCAUACGCGAUGUCAUUAACUCCAAAUAUGCUAACGACCUCGACUCGUUGUCCGCGUUUACGAACACGUCCGACUUGAUCGGAUCGGCGAGAAACGGUGCGGCGUGUUUGCAACAGCAGGCGCCGGCGGCGGCGGCGACGGCGGAGGAGGAGGAAGAAGAGGCGGAGGAGGAGGACUUUGAGCGACCGGUCACGCUGCCGGACGCCGGUCACGCCGAAAGGAAGGCGAUCGACAUUAUAAUGAACGACCCAUCUAUGGGUGAUCAAACGAACAACAUGGGUUUCCUGAAAUCGAGCGUGGACUUGCCCCUGGUGGCUACCGAGACGGAAGACAAUAAGAAUUUGGAUGUCGAUCAGAUCAUGGCCUUCGGCACCGAUAUCACAGCCGAGCAAUGCAACAUGGCGAAUGUCGCUGAUAUCGGGCACAACGUCGAGGAGAUUUUGCAGGUCAUCAAUUCGAUCGAGGGUGCGGAGAGCACCGAGAAUAUUUCCACGGUGACCGGUGGCGAGCCCGUACAAGGCGCGGUCGACAGCGUCGAAAUGUUCGCCAUGCCCGAGGAGGGUUUCGCUUCCUUCGAACGGGAUCUACUCAACGACGUGGACGUAAUAAGUCUUUGUAACGACAACAUGAAUAUCCCGGUAGACACGGUGGAGCAGCAAAAGUUCAACAGUUUGAGAUCGCAACAAGAUAUCGUCGCGCAGAAGCAGUUCGAGAUCGAGAGGAGAUGCGCGUUUCUACUGAGAAGACUGAGAAAAAUUCAGACGAGAAUAAUGGGCAGACACGUGGCGGAGGAGAAUACCGGCGUUCUCGAGUUGGCCCAUCACGGAGUAAAGAAAUACCUUCUACAAGAAUUAGUUAAUAUCGGCUCGAAAUCUAACGUGAGAAACUUUCCCGAGAUUAGCGGCAGUUUGCAUUCGUUUCUGCAGAAAAUUGAAAAGAUGUGCGUCGCUCAGAGUAACAGUGUGAAUCGUCAAAGAGUUUGUCGAUACUUUGGUGGAGGGUCGCGUGAUAACGUGGGUGGUACGUCUGGUAAUAACGGUAAUCGUCAACCAGUGUUCGGUACCCCUCAAGUUAAACUGAACAGUGAAGAAGUGGAAAAUGUGGCCGGAUCUUUGGCCACGCAAUACCAUAUUGUGGAGACAAACUUGGAUUCGGACUGUACGGCAUCCAGCAGUGGCGGAGAGAGCUGCGAUGAAAUGCAAACAUUUAACAAUGCGCAACAACAGUGUCUCUCUAUAUCCAAAAGAGCAGCAUGGAGAUAUGCACAGGAUCGUGGUGGUGUAGCAUCACGGUGGACCUGGCUACAAGCACAGAUAUCAGAUUUAGAAUACAGAAUUAGACAGCAUAACGACAUGCAACGGCAGAUCAGGGCCGCGAAGGGCCUGGUCGUUCUCGAAAAUGCGGAGACCGUUAAUGGAUAUAGUGGCGCCCUACCAGGGUCCACUGGACGAUACAAUUCGUCCGAGAAUGAAUUACCAGCUAGUAGGACACGUCCAUUUGUAUGGAAUUUUUAUAGAAAGCGAAAGCUUUUGCAAGUGGACAGGCUACACGAAGUUUCGAAGCGUGCAGCUAAAGCGUCAACAGUGAGAUGCAAUUGUGAUCAUGUGUUGCCUGCGUGUGCUUUAUGUACAGGAAGGCUAGAUCCAAUGCAGCCACAAGAACCAAUUGAACAGCUUUCUGUACAGGAACGUGUAGCACUUGUUGAUCCCAAUUUUCAUCCGGUGUUGUCGUUCUCUGAUGAAAUUAUACAUGGAACACAUUUAGAAGCUAUUAUGAAAUCAGUGGAGUGGCAGCAGAAAAUGUUUAGAGGCAAUUUACGAGUUACCCGAAUAAAAGAUAAAGAUAGCAACGAAAGAAGAAAUAAGAAACUUCCUAAUAGAACGAAAUACACCGCGCGUUUAAAGAAAUCCUCCUCGACUAUCCUUACAGCAAGGAUCAAAAGAAAGGUGUUGAAAAAUGGAAAGAGAAAUAGAAAUCUCAGCCAUGAGAGAAGCGUGCCUGGAUUGAGCAAGAAAAAAGUAUCAAAGUUGCCGACUGAGGAUGACGACGACGUUAGCGCGCUUUCAAGUUCUAGCAAACACUCAUCCCCAGUGCCUUCUCCAUUGCAACACGUUACUGCCUCGACGGAGAAAAACGUUGUUAAAGAAAAAAGUUCCAAUUCGCAUGGGCGUUUGCGACAAAACUCGUAUGACAUUGACAAUAUAGUCAUCCCUUAUAGCGUCGCUGCUUCAACUAGACCUGAAAAAUUACAAUACAAGGAGAUAUUAACACCAAAAUGGAGACUGUGCGAGGAACCCACGAAAAUGGAUGUGAAAAACGGUGUGAUGCACAGGCCUGAUCAGGACAGUGACUUUGAAGACUUGUCGGACGAGACGAUCGCCCUAAGGCACGAGCGUAGCGAACGUGAGGAAUACAAACGUUUUAUGACGUAUCUCAAUACGCCAAAUCAACCACGUAUUCGUCAUAAUCGUCGUAUCGACAGCAGAGCAGACAGCGGUGCGAACACGCCAGAUCCUAUGUCGCCGCACGCGAGCAGUGACUUUGGUGGAGACGUGACGUCCCCAAUCACAUCUCCACCUGCCACUCCGUCUCAGGUGCAGGACACAGAGUCAUCGGGUUUAGAUUCGCACCGACCGUCUGCUUUACAAAACUCUCUGCGACGUCGCACUAUGCCCGCUUUAAAACUUGGUGGGAAAGAUGAUGCCACGGUCGCAUUUACCGAAGAUGAUAACGAGAUAUUGCCGUACGAGCCAAGAGUAUUCCCAUUAUCCGAAGAGAUUUAUGACAAGAUGUUGGAAGUGAUGCCGGACGGACACUGGCAAGCUUCGUCGGCGUCUUUAUGCUCCCGCGACGAAGACAAGGGCGAUGAUGUACGUACAUUGUACUUUUACUGAUACCUCUUGUAUCGAGUAUCUAAGUGAGAAAUUUUAAUUAUAUAAAAUGUAUGUGAGUGUGUGCUAGUGUACUGAUUAUUAAUAUACACUUUGAGCCAACUUUCAUGGCUCCUCUCGAGGCUAUUUCCGGAAGUCGAAAUGGAUUCUCCCGAAUCGGAUUCAACCGAAUCGGCUUGUUGUGAUUUAGACGGUGAGGAUCCCAAUGAUCCCGAAUGGACGGUAGCUGACGAUAGAGACACUGAAAAGGAGAGAAUACGUCCGACGGCUAAAA
rnacentral:misc_RNA from 1 species